rnacentral:rRNA from 1 species
CGGGUGAGUAACGCGUGAGUAACCUGCCUUGCACAAGGGGAUAGCCGUUGGAAACGACGAAUAAUACCCUAUGAUAUAAACUCUUCGCAUGAAGAGCUUAUCAAAGAUUUAUCGGUGUAAGAUGGACUCGCGUCUGAUUAGCUAGUUGGUGGGAUAAAAGCCUACCAAGGCAACGAUCAGUAGCCGGCUUGAGAGAGUGUACGGCCACAUUGGGACUGAGACACGGCCCAG